GACGAACGCUGGCGGCGUGCUUAACACAUGCAAGUCGAACGGUAAGGCCCUUCGGGGUACACGAGUGGCGAACGGGUGAGUAACACGUGGGUGAUCUGCCCUGCACUUCGGGAUAAGCCUGGGAAACUGGGUCUAAUACCGGAUAGGACCCUGGGAUGCAUGUCCUGGGGUGGAAAGCUUUUGCGGUGUGGGAUGGGCCCGCGGCCUAUCAGCUUGUUGGUGAGGUAAUAGCUCACCAAGGCGACGAUCGGUAGCUGGUCUGAGAGGAUGAUCAGCCUGACUGGAACUGAGAACGGUCCAGACUCCUACGGGAGGCAGCAGUAGGGAAUUUUCCACAAUGGGCGAGAGCCUGAUGGAGCAACGCCGCGUGCAGGAUGAAUGCCUUCGGGUUGUAAACUGCUUUUAUGUGCGAAGAAUUUGACUGUAACACAUGAAUAAGGAUCGGCCAACUACGUGCCAGCCGCCGCUGUAA
rnacentral:rRNA from 1 species